UACAGAGGUCCCAAGCGUUGUUCGGAUUCAUUGGGCGUAAAGCGCGCGUAGGUGGCCACAUAAGUCCGUUGUGAAAGUCAAAGGCUCAACCUUUGAAAGCCGAUGGAUACUGUGUGGCUAGAGUACGGAAGAGGCGAGUGGAAUUCCUGGUGUAGCGGUGGAAUGCGCAGAUAUCAGGAGGAACACCAAUAGCGAAGGCAGCUCGCUGGGACGUUACUGACACUGAGGCGCGAAAGCGUGGGGAGCGAACAGG
rnacentral:rRNA from 1 species